GCGCGUAGCCGUCUCGGCUUCAGCGCGCAGCUCUCCGGCAUUUCCGAUGACGCAGAGAACUUUCCGGAAGGCCGCCGUCAGGUUCAAGCUGUCGUCAGUUGUACAGAGCUGGUUGGAAAGUGGAGAAGUCGCGGUGUCUUUUAUAGAUAAUAACAAAGUCGUGUUGCUGGCAGGCUGCUUUCUGAGGCUGUGAAGCUCCGGGAUCGCCCACCAUGCUGGUAGCCAGACUCACGUGUCUGCGCAGUCUUCCGGCUGCCGGGCUGCGCUCGGCCCUGGCCCAGGGCCCUCGGCCUCUGAGGUGCCUUCAGUUUAAGGUCACUCAGCCCUUGGUGAAGCCUCAUCAGGACUAUUCCACCAAAGCUCGAUUUGCUCUCAGACGUGGCAAGACUGCCAGAGACCAACUGAAAGAAGCAGCUUUCGAGCCAGCGACUGACACAGCGGCAAAAGUUGACAGCAUAGGAAGGAUGAUUCUUGCUGGAGGAGCCGCGGUCGGUCUUGGAGCUUUGUGCUACUAUGGACUGGGGAUGUCGAAUGAAAUUGGAGCCAUUGAAAAAGCCGCGAUCUGGCCCCAGUAUGUGAAAGACAGGAUUCACUCCACCUACAUGUACUUUGCCGGCAGCGUGGGCCUAACGGCCCUGUCCGCUGUAGCAGUGAGCAGGACUCCUGCACUUAUGGGUCUGAUGAUGAGAGGAUCCUGGAUGGCCAUCGGCGCCACGUUUGCUGCCAUGUUGGGUGCUGGUAUGCUGGUCAGAUCAAUUUCAUACGAGAAUAGUCCCGUUCCUAAACAUCUCGCCUGGAUGCUACACGCAGGUGUCAUGGGAGCGGUGGUGGCCCCCCUGACCCUGUUAGGUGGUCCCCUGGUGUUGAGGGCAGCAUGGUACACGGCAGGCAUUGUGGGGGGGCUCUCCACAGUAGCCGUGUGUGCCCCCAGUGAGAAGUUCCUUUCUAUGGGGGGUCCGCUGGCUGUUGGCUUUGGAGCGGUGUUUGCUUCGUCCAUCGGGUCAAUGUUCCUGCCGCCCACUUCAGCUCUGGGAGCAGGCCUGUAUUCAGUGGCGGUUUACGGUGGCCUCAUCCUCUUCAGCAUGUUCCUGCUGUACGACACGCAGAAAGUGAUCAAACGUGCCGAAAGCUACCCCUUGUAUGGAGUCGCCAGAUAUGACCCCAUCAACUCAUGCCUACAGAUUUACAUGGAUACACUGAAUAUCUUCACACGGAUUGUGAUGAUUCUGGCCAGUGGUGGCGGAGGCAGGAGGAAGUGAGAGGCUCCAUGCUGGCAGGUGUUCCAUUUUCUCACAUUUUAAGGUGUGCCGACGUGAGGAAAAACGGCUCCCUAUAAAUUCGCGAAGGCAGUCAUUCGACCUUGGUGGAGGAAGAAUGCAGCCAUUAUGUCUGUGUGUGUUGCUUUUCUUUUUAAAAGAAGCUUCCGUUGGACAAAAACACGCCUAUGUUGAAAUAGUAGGACAUUACAAAGGACUUUGGUUUGGCAUUAUCAUUAGUAAACAAUUGUUAACUUUCGUUUAAAAACUGUUGCGUGAACCGGAAAAUCAAACAACCGUUGUGCUUUGCAAAACCUUGCAAUUGCAAGCCAUAACAGAUCUCCUAUUAACUUAAGCAUUAACAGAUGUCAUGCACAUCAUAUUUCAGCAGUGACUUUAAUGCAGUGCUUUCUAAUUCAGCUUGGACGCACCAUUUUCUUUUUAAAAACUUAAUGUAUCAUACUGGCUGAAUAUUCUUCACUUAUGGAAAUGCUUUGAAUGAACAUUUGAAAACGUCUGUACCCUUUUAAACCAAGCUGUUCAUUUAAUUGACUGAUGUGGCACUGCAGAAAUGCUAGUUCUGCAGAAUGACUAUAGCCAGCUGUUCUCUUAGUUCUCUGGUGCUUUCAGAUAAAUGUCUUGAGUAUUUAGCACUUCAGAAACUCUAAUACAAAAUAUCCAAGCUGUUAAUUAUGGAAUUCCCAUGCUUUCCUCUAUUGUAUCCCCCAGGUCAUAUAUCUCUGGGAUUUUUUUUUUAAUUUUAUUUGAACACUUGGAGUCUAUAGUGAAGAAUUCAUUUCAAUAAUCCCACCUGCACCUGUGUAUGACUAAGCUCUUUUUGUAUAGCGCCAACAAUGACUUAAAAUAAAAUUGGCUGCUUCUGUCAAGAUAUAAAAUACCUGAUAUACAUAUAAAUCUUACAUUUCAGUGUGUUUUCACUGGUAUGUGUAAUGAGUCUUCCUGGUGUGAUAUUCACUGCAUUCCAGAAGAAAAAAAUGUUGAUCUGCUAUAUCCUUUUUCUUGAAGGCAGUACCCAAAGAAAUAACUCAUAAUAUGACACAGAAGUCAACAUGAGAAAUUCACAAGUAGCUCUGCAUCUCCUGAAUAGGCUGAAAAGGCGCACACUGUCUUCAUUGUGAAAGUUAACGAAAAGCACUUCUGCUAGUCUGUACUUCUGAAAAUCGAAUAAAAAGUUUUUAAAAUGUGUCCCUCCCUUUUGUGCUUUUCUGUCUGUUCGCGUCUCUGUUUGGCAUGCCCUGGCAUAUCACAGACGUCUUAUUUUCCCACUGUGUUCUUUUCUCAAGGCUGUUAGAUAUCCUUUAUUAAAAGAAUGCAGUGACAGCACUGCAAUGCCAAUUAUAUGUGUUUCGUAUCGGGCUUUAUCAUGGAUAUCCUGGAGCAUCCGACUUCAAAAAAAAACUGGUAGGACAUGUUUUUUUUUCCUCUUCCAUUCUUCUCGUUUUUGGGUUGGGCCACAGUGCACACCAGGCUAGUCGUAAGUGGAAGGAGCAGUGUAACCCUAGAUGCUCAUUUAUCACCGAACUCUAAAGGCAGUGAGAUGAAGAAGCAAACUCUGCUGGUUUUGGUCCUUGUGUUGCUGCUUUGUGUGGAUACACUGUCCACCAAGGCAAAGAACCCGAAGAAGCGCUUGAAGUGCUGCAACUCAAGAGAGCCCAAGCUGCAUGAAGGUAAAUUUGAAACUCCAAAUCUUCGCCCUUGCAAGAAGUGCAAGAAUCCAAACAGAUAUCAAGCAGGUGGAGUUCCCCUGCCGUCCAAAUGAUCCUGAAUAUCAACUGACCUCUGCAGCCUUUAGCCGUAUUUCGCAGCAUAUCUCGUGCGUACAUGCAUAGUGUAUAUCCCAGGCACCGUUAUUGUUAUAUCCUUUCCUGUUAAAUAAAACUGAGGUCACAGCUUUCUGUUUUUUUACAGUUUGGCUAUAUAUAUCCAUCAAAUACAGUUUAAUGCUGUUCUUGCACUAUUUCUUAAUUUUUUGUAAUCUUUUUUAUUUUUUUUUUUGCAAUUCUCUUGUGAGAGUUGAUGUUCCUGCUGUUUUCUCGUUUACUUUGGAUGAAUGAUUAAAGCAAAUACUUCCUUA